CUGGUCCCGGUCAGCGGUGAUCGCAGGGGCUGCCGAUGAGAUGCUUGACCUCAUCAGCACCUCUGCGUCCACUGGCUGACUCGCCGCCUUAAAGAGAGCCUCCCUUCCCCCUCCUCUCCCCGUCUCCUUUGCUCUUUUAUUUGUUUCCGUUUUAGACUUGUAAACAGUGUUUCUCUGAACUUGUGGACUUUCACUCCUUCAGUGAGUUACGAUCAUUAUUCUGUUUGAAGUUCACAUUGUCCAAAACUUAGCCCCUGGCACGCCCUCCUGUGGCUGAGGUGCCAGGCUCGCCUGUGCCCUCGGGCAGGGCCUCCCUGCUCCUGCUGCCUUUCAGGUGGGAAUGGAAUUGCGAAACCCCACCCGGGGCGGAGGGAGGGCUGCUGGUGGCACGGUUCUCGGGCUUCCCACGGGACUAGCCUGGGUAGAGCUAGAAUAUGAAAUAAAUAUACACAGAACGCAAAGCACGUAUCACAUCCCGACUUAAAGGAGCAUGAGGACCUCUCACCUCGCGUGUUGUGUGUCUACGUCACCCUCUGCUUAGACCGAAACCCUCGGUUUCUAAGAACGUCACCUUAUUACUCAGCCGCGCCCACAGCUCAGCGCGUCUGGGCCCUGGCCCUUCGAGGCGAAGAUUUCCCCAAGUUAUCAGCCGAGGGCGGCAGCCAGAACCGCCUCAGCGGUCACUCUUCCCAGAGUGGCUGUUAUCGGUUCCCUCAAAUUACCAAAAAGAAUGCCUUUCACACAGACACUUGUCUUUCAAAUCUUGGAAAUAUUUUGAAGACAUGCCACACCUGGCCCCACCCCAGAACCUGAGGCCAGCACCUCUGCCCUCCCGGCGCCCCGUGUCCCACACUGUCAGUGGCCAGGCCGCCCUGGAGUCCCCGCCUGCUGCCGGCCAGGGGGCUGUCCGGUGCCUGCAUCCAGGCCCAGCCACCUGGGAGCGAUCAGUGGCACCUCCAUCUUGCAGGGCUAGCCCACGGUGUCAGGCUGGGGCUGCCCUGGGCUUUCCCGGUCCUUCUCCAGCUCCCUGCAGCCUGGGCUGUCGGACCACAGCAGGGCGCAGCCUGGAUCCCAGCUACCGUCCAGCGCCAGCCGCCUGCGUCUGGGAGCCCGAUCUUCCGGUCUUGUGGCAGCAGGAGCACGCGGUGGCUCAGGCCUUCUCCUCCCAAACUGCAUGCCUCCCUUUGGAGGUGUCCCCGCUGGUUAGGGGGGAGAGCAGGUGCCCUGGCUGGAGAGAAAGGGGCCCAAAGGACACAGGGGGCUGAAGAGGGGGGCGGCCAGGGCUGAUCUACGUUCUAAGUGAGCACCACCCUCUGUGCUGUGUGGCCUGAAGCAGCUGCCCAGCUCUCUGGGCCUCAACUUCCUCACCUGUGAAAUGGGAAAAUGAGGCUGGGUGCAUGGGGCUGAGGUGGGUUAGUGAGUACCACAGGCGAGGGGCAUGGAGGCGUUGGGCUAUGAACCCUGGCACAUGUGGACAUGACCAGGCUGUCGGAGUGGACUCCGUAGAAUGGGAUUGGAUUAGCUCAUGUCUGAAUGGCAGGUUUCCAUCGCUACUGCUCACAAGAGGAUGCCAGCCCCUGCCAAGGGCAAGCCUGCUGGGUGCAAUGGAAUGAAGGUCAGGGGCAGGAGGGGACAGUGAGGGCAGCGCCAGAGUCUGUGGGUUGGGAGUGCAGGAGGUCGUAGGUCCUGGAUGGGGUGCCUUGGUGGACAGAGCAGGGGCUGGGAGGCAGUACUUGGGCAUCCAGAGGGGCAGUGAAGGUCAUGCUCUAAACACAGGGAGCAUGUGUCCCUGCACCUGGCAUUGCCCUGAGGGCUCCGGAGAACAUGGUCAGUCGGUGUCCUGGGUGGGGCACAGGCACAGGAGCACGUGUUCCAGGGCCUCCCACUCACCUCCCCUGUCGUGUUCUUGUCACUGUGACCCAGCUGUCUGGGGCAGAGAUCACGGUCGUGAAGGGAGCUCAGGGUCCGAGGAGGAGAGAGAGAGACUGGGGCCCGAAGGGCACAGAGGGGGCACAGGGCACCCAACUUCCUCUUCGUGGACCAAGGGCGGUGAGAGCAGCGAGCUCUGGGGGAGAGCAGGGGUCCUGCCUGGGAAGGAAGGGGCUCACUGUCACCCCCGACAGCAGGGCUUAGUUAACGCCUACACCGGCCAUCAGUCAGCUGGUCGCCUGUCCCCCAGGCCAUUCCCGUCUCUGUGGAAAGCGUGUCCCUCCAGGCUCUCUGCUGGCCCAGUCUGCCCCCUGGACGACGCCAUGCAGAGGAGCUGGGAGGGCACCUCCCAAACCUGGGUUCUAUUUCCCUUUGUAGACACAGCCGUCCACCAGGCGGGGGGGAGGCUGCCCCCCUCAGGACAGUGGGCCACACCCGCCUCCCUGAGUGUCCCUGCAUAACUGAGGGCCAGGCCGGACCAAGGCAGGGACACCAGCCUGACGCAAAGGUGUCCUGCUAUCCCACAGGAGAGAGCCCGAUGGAGGCUCCGGACCGCAGCCCCUGUGGUGUCAGAGCCCGUGCCCUCAGGAGCCUCUGCAGGCACUGCUGGCCUGGCCUGGAGCAGCCUCUCCUCACUGACUGUGGUCCGGGACUUUCCUGGUCAGGCUACUUGCCACAGAGACCGCUCCCGGGGAAACCCCGUGUGAAAGUGGAGUCACCCACAGCCAGAGGCCAGGGAGAGCACAGGCUGGGCCAACACCCCUGGGAGAGACCCACCCAUGCCCCAGGAGCUGGGAGGGCACCGCCCAAAACCUGGGUCAGAUUUCAUUCUCCCAGCUCACACCCUCAUAGUGCCUGUCUGGUCAGGCCACACUCGCCCGGCCUUGACCCUGGACCUCACUGAGCUCAGCCACUCUGCCCUGUCCAAGCACCUCUGCCCAGGACCUUUGCACGGGCUGUUCCCCUGCCUGGAGGUUUGUUUCCACUCCCAGGGCCUGGCACAGAGUGGAUGCCCAUUACAGGCUUGUUGGAUGAAGGGAGCUGCACACCUCAGCGACCUGAAGCCAUCACCCGCUUCACUUAGGGACAGAAUUCACACAUUACCAAACCCAGCCAGGUGUACGACAUAGUGAUUACACAUGUAUGCACCUUACACGAAGCGAUCCCUCGGACGCACAGACCGAGACACAAUCGGGGAGAACACUGUUUCCUGUCGCCACGGUGGAGAGGGGAGCGUGGAAGCCUCACACGUGUGGCAGGUAGCCUGAGCUGACGGGGAUCUUCGGGCCGGAGAAAGGUCAUCCACUUCCUCGCUGCGUCUGAGAGUCCCGGCCACUCCUGGGCUUCUUGGAAGUGGCUGCACGGAGUCGCCAGGGGUCCCGCAAAAGUGGUGCUGGCUCCGCAGUCUGGGCUGCUGCCCGGGGCCCACACGGUGAGCAUCGCGUCUAGAGCUCAUGCCCCCACCACGCCUCCUCCAAUGAGCACUCACUCACCCUUCACCUGACCUGGGGGCCCACAGGUCCCCUCUCCUGUCCUAGGCUGUACUUAAUGCAACCCCAUCAGAAUAAAGCCCCCCACCACUGCUGUGCUCGGAUGCCACGUGUGUGUAUGUGUCCGCAUGUGUAUGUCUGCGGGCAUCUUUGUGUGUGUGCACGUGUGUGCUGUAGCUCACGCAAUCUCUCACGAGCUGCCUUGGGUCCAGGGAGGCCCAGGGGGGACUGGUGAAGAGCCACAGCUGGCACUGCCCGCUGGACUCAGCACAGCCCUGCCCAGCCUGUCCUGCUUGGGGCUCACUUGCUCCAGACCCCUGAGUCCUGCACAGGAGCAUCUGAGGCCAAACUCAGGCCCUGGUCUGGGCACACAGUGGCCCUUUUCAGUGACCCCUCGAGCUGCGUCUGCAGGGUGCCAGCAGUUCCCUUUCGGGCAGCAGUGGAUCCGCCCAAACAGCUACACACCCUGUACACACUGCAGGUUUGAGUUUGGCGUGCAGAGGGGUCUGGCCAGCCCAUGAGUCACUCCGGCUGAAGCCCCACGGAGGAGCUGGCCUCACGGAGCCGAAUCACAGCUAUUGAGCUGCUAAUGUGAUUGUUAGAGCCACUACAUGGGGGAUGUUUGUUUCAAAGCACUAGGUGAGCAGAAUGCAGCCGAAAGGCAAACUCAGGAAGAUGUAAGGUCAGGUUUCAGGGACGGGCCUCCAUCUCCUUGGCUCUGGCCUCUGCUUUUAUCCUCUAGACACAGACUCCCGGGGCCCUGGGCCUGUGGAUGCUGGUCAGACCUGCCCACCCCACCCCAGGGGCAGCCGCAGGGCCAGCUGGACCCCGCGUGCGUGGCUCAUGAGAGCCCAAGGUGGGCAACUCUCCCAGCCCACGCGCAGCGAUGUCGUCACGUUGGCAGUUUGACAUCAGCCACGUGAGUGUAUUUAUGGCGUGGAAAUGGGCAAAUGCCACAGACCGGGGCUUUCUCCCGGGAGAGCCGGUGGGUCUCUGUUGGAGCCGUCCAUCUCUCUCUGGCCAUCUCCAGGACAGGUCUGGGCCGUCUCUGCUCACCCUCCCCCACGGCCUGGUGGACGAGGAUGAGCUGGGCUGGCCCAGGUGCUGCCUCACCUUGGGCUGCUGGCUCAUGAUCUGGGGGGUUUAUGGGGGGACAUGAAGACAUAAUGUGGAAAAGCGGGAGGAGGACUGACACUUCGACCAGCGCCAUCCCCGCUCUGUUAUCGGCUGUUCAACAGGAAAAGGCCCUGUUUCUCAAGACACGACUCGGUGACCGGACCUGUGCUGGCCUCACUGUGAGGGUGCUCGGGUCCUGGCAGGAGCCUGAGGAUGGGAUGGCCCAGGAGGGGUGGGGAUCCCUGGGGUGGGGGAUCCCUGAGGUGGGCGGAGGGCAGUGCUGCGGGAGCUGCCUGGGCGGGGCGGCUGCAGUGGACAGAAUUAGCUAACGUGCCCCCCUCGGCAGGUCAUCGCCCUGCUCAGGGCGAGGGAAGGGCCCUGCAGGGGCGGAGCCGCAGGAGAUUGGGCAGCCGGCUCAGGAGGCCACGGUGACGACGCUGAUGACACUGCUGAGGGCGCCGGUGACAGCAGGCCCCGCCAGCGCCCACACGUGCCUGUCUUGCCAUUCCGUGCCGGCACUUGGGCCUCUUUAGCAACAGCUCUCAUCCAGCCAAUUUCAGUGUCCUGAUUUGAAACCACAGGCCUGACCCUGAAGGCGGUCUUGGCCCCACGCAGGGCAGCAACUGGAUUUUGUGUUUCUUCCUGUGAAACAGCUCUGCAAACGAACGUCAGCUACAAGGCGCUCUGGCCAAAAGUAUUUCACUGGAAUCUGAAAGCCUUUAGAUCUAAGUUCCCGCGUUCACAGGACAGCUGGCCCGUCUCCUGCUUGUCAUUGUCGUGGAAACAACGUGCUCCGGGCCUGACCCGGGGACAUUCACCCACAAGGAGGCCCCGGCAGAAUCCUCUUCGCCAGAGACCAGCUGUUGACGAUAUUCUUUCCAGCCUGAGGAAACUAGUAUGAAAGAAUUCGUCUUGGUUUUGUUAAGUGUGAGGAUGUUAUUUGGUCGUGGGGGAAAUACUUGUAUUUUUUAGAGAUGCACACAGAAAUAUUUCCAGAAGGCAUGCCACGGUGUCUGUGACUUGCUGUCAAAUUCCUCAGCAUUAAAAAAGUACACAAAGCCCCGGCCGGAGGCUCCGCUGGUUGAGUGUUGUCACCAAAAGGUGGUGGGUUUGAUCCCGGGUCAAGGCACAUACCCAGGCUGCAGGGACAAUCCCUGGUUGAAGCGUGUACAGGAGGCAACUGAUCAAUGUUUCUCUCUCUCUCUCUCUCUUUUUCUCUUCCUCUCUCUCAAAUCAAUAAAAACAUACCCUCGGGUAAGGAUUUUUUAAAAAGUAAGUAGAAAGAAGAUAUGCCAAUAUUAAGGGGGAGAUUAAUGCCUUUAGUGGUCCCUUCCCCCUGCCCUGACUAUGUAAUUCAGAAUGAAGUUAUAUUUAUGAAACAUAAUAAUAACUAUACACAUAAAUGGUAGAAAUAACCCAUGUUGUGCGAGGUAAGAUUAGAUGGUUUAUUCCUCGGAAAGGGAAAUGUUUGCCUGACCUUAUAGCUGCUUAAAACCUUAAUUUUUAAAGGAACGACAAGGCCUGAUGGUUAAUCUUAUGUCAACUUGGCUGGGCCGUGGCACUCAGAUAUUUGGUCAAACACAUCUGGAUGUUGCCUGAAGAUAUUUUUUUAGACAAGAUUAGCAUGGAAUCAGUAGUGUUUAAGUAAAGCCCUCCAGAUGUGGGUGUGUUUUAAGAGAAAACAGACUGAGAUUGCUUGAGGAAGAAAGAAUUCUCCCUCCACACCAUCAGCUCUUCCCUGGGUCUCUGGUCUACCCUUCUGAAUUUGGACUUGCCAGGCACCACAAUCACAUGAGGUGAUUCCUUAAACGAAAUCUGUCUCUAAAUAUGGAGAUGGAGAUGGAUGGAGAUGGAGAUACAUCACCAUUGGUCUGUUUCUCUGGAGAACCCUGACUACUACACAAGGGAAGUGGGUAGAGUGAAUGUUACGAAGCUACAAAGCACGAGAAGGUGUGGAAGGGCCUGGCAGGAGGCGGUUGGCUGAGCUCAGGGUGCAGGGCGUGGGGUAGAAUGGGGACCGGUGUUCCUGCUUAUGUGAGCCAGGUCAGAAGGGCCCUGGGGUGGGCAGGGGGCACUGAGACUCUGGUGCUGGCUACGGACAUGAUGGCGUCCACACCUCUCCUGGGUGCUGCCUGCCGUGUGCAUCUUCGUCUCCUUUGCAGUGAGACCCCCAAAGAACCAUCGUUUCUAACAGGUGGAGAAGGUUUUAGCAUUAAGGAUAGUUCUUUUUGUUGUUGUUAAUCCUCACCUGAAGAUAUUUUUCCAUUGAUUUUUUCUUUUUUUUUCUUUUUUAGAGAGAGUAGAAGGGAAAGAGAGAGA